CGGCACGGGUGCGUAACGCGUAUGCAACCUACCAUCAACAGGGGGAUAACACUGAGAAAUUGGUACUAAUACCCCAUAAUAUCUCAUGCGGCAUCGCAUGGGGUUGAAAACUCCGGUGGUUGAUGAUGGGCGUGCGUUGUAUUAGCUGGUUGGUGAGGUAACGGCUCACCAAGGCGACGAUACAUAGGGGGACUGAGAGGUUAACCCCCCACAUUGGUACUGAGACACGGACCAAACUCCUACGGAAGGCAGCAG
rnacentral:rRNA from 1 species